ACACCUCAACUCUCACGGCUUGCUGUGAUGAGCUUGGACUUUGGGGGUCUUGUUGGCCUGUGAGCCAGCUCCUCUUGAAUGAAUUAGCUUGCCGGUGUUUGGUGGCAUCACAGGUGUGAUAACUAUCUACGCUUGUGGUUUCCCAUCAGAUAACCUUCAGUGAUGGAGGUUCGCUGGGGCUUAUAAACGUCUCUCCUCGGCGAGGACAGAUUUUGACC
rnacentral:misc_RNA from 1 species